rnacentral:rRNA from 1 species
AGUGAACGCUGGCGGUAGGCCUAACACAUGCAAGUCGAACGGCAGCACAGUAAGAGCUUGCUCUUACGGGUGUCGAGUGGCGGACGGGUGAGGAAUACAUCGGAAUCUACUUUUUCGUGGGGGAUAACGUAGGGAAACUUACGCUAAUACCGCAUACGACCUACGGGUGAAAGCAGGGGAUCUUCGGACCUUGCGCGAUUGAAUGAGCCGAUGUCGGAUUAGCUAGUUGGCGGGGUAAAGGACCACCAAGGCGACGAUCCGUAGCUGGUCUGAGAGGAUGAUCAGCCACACUGGCACUGAGACACGGUCCAGACUCCUACGGGAGGCAGCAGUGGGGAAUAUUGGACAAUGGGCGAAAGCCUGAUCCAGCCAUACCGCGUGGGUGAAGAAGGCCUUCGGGUUGUAAAGCCCUUUUGUUGGGAAAGAAAAGCAGCAGGUUAAUACCCCGCUGUUCUGACGGUACCCAAAGAAUAAGCACCGGCUAACUUCGUG